rnacentral:rRNA from 1 species
UACGUAGGGUGCAAGCGUUGUCCGGAAUUAUUGGGCGUAAAGAGCUCGUAGGCGGUCUGUCGCGUCGGCUGUGAAAACUCGGGGCUCAACCCCGAGCCUGCAGUCGAUACGGGCAGACUAGAGUGCUGUAGGGGAGACUGGAAUUCCUGGUGUAGCGGUGAAAUGCGCAGAUAUCAGGAGGAACACCGGUGGUGUAAACGGCUUUCUGGACCAUAACUGACGCUGAGGCACGAAAGCGUGGGUAGCAAACAGG